rnacentral:lncRNA from 1 species
UCCGCCCCAGCUUCCGCGUCGCAGCCCCGGGAGCAGGAGCGAGAGCGGUGCCGGAACUGUCCCUCUUCGGGGCGGGAGCCAGAGCUGGGGGUCGGGGUCAGACCGGGAGCCUGGGCUGAAGCGGCGGGCACUGACUCCCUGCGAGAUGAAUGGGACAGAAGGCAAUGCUGAGCAACCGGGCCCCGCUGAGCGUUCCCAUCGAAGCAGCGUGUCCUCCGUGGGAGCUCGAGCGGCUGAUGUGCUGGUAUACCUGGCGGAUGACACAGUGCUGCCCCUGGCUGUGGAGAACCUGCCAUCGCUCAGUGCCCAUGAGCUGCACCGGGCUGUCCGUGAGGUCCUGCAGCUCCCAGACAUCGCCCUGGAUGCCUUCGCACUCUGGCUUGUGUCCCCUCUGCUGGCCAUGUCCAUUCAUCACUCGGAAACGGUCCCUGACUUCUCAAAGGCCAUGGUCACCGGCACAUAAGGUGAAAGCACUUUCUCAUUACUGGUGCAGGGUGUUGAGUCCCAGGGCCAGCUGGCUGCCCAGAGUCAAGGGGCUGGGCGUGAGUGGUGCACUUGGCCAUUCUGCCCACCUCCGUGAGGGUCUGUGGUGGGCUGGGGGUACGGCAGUGAAUGGGACAGAGCCACUCUUGCCGGAGUGAUCUGAGGACUCACUGGCUAGUGGGGCAUCAAUGGGGAGGUGACAUCAGAUAGUGGUAAAUACUGUAAAGACAACCAAAUGAGGGUGCAGUUGGCAUGGUGGCAUGUGAUGGGGGGGGAGCUGCCUCAGUGAAGGGUCCAGGGAAGGAGACACUAGAACCAAGACCCAAGCCAGCUGGCCACGUGAGGGUCUAGGGGGGAGAGUACCUGAGACAGGAGGAACGGCAAGUGCAAAGGCCCUGAGGCACCGACAAGGUGGGAAGGUGCAAAUGAUUGAAGAAGGCCAGCAUGGCAGGAACAGAGUGGGAGAGGGAAUGGGAAGGAAAUGAGGUGGGAGAGCUGGAUGGCAUGGAAUGAAGGUCAGCCGGAGCUCCUGAGGGAGAUGCUGGAGGUGGGGCCCAGUGAGGGGGAGGCCCAGGCUCUGCCAGGGGCAGGGGAGGGCAACCCCUCGGGCCUCAGUUACCAGUUUUGGGGUCUGCUUCCUAAUGGCCCUGUGGGGUUCAUCUGACCACCAUCCCUGGCACUUUCCAUCAGCCACAGCCUCUCCGCUCCAGCCCACCCUCGGUGCUGUAGGGAGCAGUCAGAGGCUGGCACUGCCUGGAGCCUGACUCUCUCACUCGGGUGACCUUGGACAAGGAACUUAACCUCUUGGAGCCUCAUUUCUCCCUACGCAUGAAAUGAGGAUAGUGUUAUCACGGGGCAGAUGCCCGUAGUCCACUUGAAGUGCUUCUGGAAGCUUGUACUUGCUCAGUUAAUACUGGCCGUGACUGGGGCUCCUGGGUGGCUCAGUCGGUUGAGCGACCCACUCUUGGUUUCAGCUCAACUCGCGACCUCAGGGUCAUGAGAUCGAGCUUCGCGUCGGACUUCGCACUCAGCAGGGGACUCUGCUUGAGAUUCUCUCUGUCUCUCCCCCCCACCCCUGCAUCUGCGCACGCACCCGCGCG